CAGCAGCCGCGGUAAUACGAAGGGUGCAAGCGUUAAUCGGAAUUACUGGGCGUAAAGCGCGCGUAGGUGGUUUGUUAAGUUGGAUGUGAAAUCCCCGGGCUCAACCUGGGAACUGCAUUCAAAACUGACUGACUAGAGUAUGGUAGAGGGUGGUGGAAUUUCCCGUGUAGCGGUGAAAUGCGUAGAUAUAGGAAGGAACACCAGUGGCGAAGGCGACCACCUGGACUAAUACUGACACUGAGGUGCGAAAGCGUGGGGAGCAAACAGGAUUAGAUACCCGGGUAGUCCCUGUCUCUUAUAA
rnacentral:rRNA from 1 species